ACGAUAAAAGGUGGGGUGGGCGACGGGUGCAAUGUGACACUUUGACGAUGCACUUCGCAUACACGCAUCAUUGCGAGCCGCUGAGAGUUGCCUAGUAUUGAGGGUGUAACUCACUACUGCUCCAUAAACCUAUAAACAGUGUCAUGAAUUCAGGGCCGUUCCAACGUUUUUGUAGAGCCUAAGCGGACUACGAAGUGGAGACCCUUUUGCAAAACAUAUAGAGAUCAAUAGAAAAAUUAGCUGCUAAAGUUAACCUACGUUUAGUAAUUAGCCCUAAUUUUGCCCAUAAAUUCUCCUCCAAUCCCGACAGACCCGACGCCAUGAGUGAUUACCGUUAGUGAUAGCCGAUAACCUAGAAAAUCGAAAAAGCAGGUUGCGAUAGGAGGCAUGAACGAGGACUAUGGCUCAAUUUUAGGGAUUUUUGGCGCUGAUUCACGGAAUUCAGAUGAGGUCUAGUGGUAGGUAGUUGCUACAAAAUGUAAUUAUGUCUGUGGUUUAGUUUCGAAACUGGGUUUUAAAUGUGGGCCUUUUUUCCUAAAUAAUUUUUAUUUGUCUAAUCUUAUUAAAAAAAACAUGGUCUAGUUUUGCUUUUAUUUUAGCCUGAUACAUAUACAAUAUAUAAAACUUUACUAAAAAUUGGAGUCCCUUGAUUUUUGGUGGCCCUAUACCCGUGCCUAGAUUGGUAAGCCUAACGGGUCAGCCUGCAUGAAUUAAAAUUACAGUUUUGAUUCAUCAAUUUAGAUCAAAUUUUAAUGCAGUUAGAACUGGUUAAUUAAAGAUUAAUGUGCGUUUCGUUUCAAUUUUGUGUGGUGAUUAGAAAAUGCAUAUCAAAGUUCAUUUUGAGUUGAUAGAAAAAACUAGGACACACACAUAAGAAAGAUAAACAUUUUUCGGCAGAUUAGAGGGGGCACUUUGUAAGUCGUUCCGCGUAUUUUUUUUCUUUUCUCACAGAAUACUAAAACACCAGAAAGUCUUGAACUAUCUUAGGUGCGUGAGCCAUCUCCGGCACAUACUAUACUUAAUACUUGUUAUUGUAUCAAGGGAGGCAUACAUGUUCGUCUAAGAGAAGACACAAAAUCUUUUUGAAUGGACGUAAUAAACACGAAGCCUCAACCAACACUAACGGAUUAUUCAGUUUGUUUUGCAGCCAAGAACAUGAUUGAAGACUCUGGUUCGAAUAAUUUAACAUUUAUAAUUGUUGAGCAUGCAUUCCUUGAGACGAUUAAACUUAUAUCAGAAUUGUUGAGCAAGGCAGAAGAAGGAUGUCGGAAAGGAUGGCUUUGCAAGGUAUAGUCGAGGUGGCUUGUUGGUUCCUUUGGAAAGCUAGGAACGAUCUUAGGUUUAAUGGUAAAAGGUGUAAUGUUGAAGAGGUCUUUAGUGAAGUUCGGUUGGUUAGUUAUUUUUGGUUCAAAUGUCGGGCUAAAAAUGGCUCUUUCGACUGGGGGGAUUGGUGUAAAUUUGUAAAUAUGCAAUUGGUUUGUUGGUUGUUGCCGUCCCGGUUUCGGGCUCGGUGUUUUAAUAAAGUUCUCCUUUCAAAAAAAAAGAGAGAGAAAUAACUCAAGUGA